GCAAGUCGAGUGGGUUUAGACCCACGGCGAACGGGUUAGUAAUACCUAGGAACUUUCUUUAAGUGGAGGAUAACCAGUCGAAAGAUUGGAUAAUACUUCAUGUGGCAGUAAUGCUAAAGUCGCAAGACGCUUAAAGUGAGGCCUGGGCACCAUCAGCUAGUUGGUAAGGUAAUGGCUUACCAAGGCUAUGACGGUUAGGGGUCCCGAGAGGGAGAAC
rnacentral:rRNA from 1 species